rnacentral:misc_RNA from 1 species
CCGAGUUUACAACUCCCAAACCCCUGAGAACAUACCACUUGUUGCCUCGGCGGAUCAGCCCGCUCCCGGUAAAACGGGACGGCCCGCCAGAGGACCCCUAAACUCUGUUUCUAUAUGUAACUUCUGAGUAAAACCAUAAAUAAAUCA